rnacentral:rRNA from 1 species
AUAAAUGCAACUCGAGCGAAUGGAUUAAGAGCUUGCUCUUAUGAAGUUAGCGGCGGACGGGUGAGUAACACGUGGGUAACCUGCCCAUAAGACUGGGAUAACUCCGGGAAACCGGGGCUAAUACCGGAUAACAUUUUGAACCGCAUGGUUCGAAAUUGAAAGGCGGCUUCGGCUGUCACUUAUGGAUGGACCCGCGUCGCAUUAGCUAGUUGGUGAGGUAACGGCUCACCAAGGCAACGAUGCGUAGCCGACCUGAGAGGGUGAUCGGCCACACUGGGACUGAGACACGGCCCAGACUCCUACGGGAGGCAGCAGUAGGGAAUCUUCCGCAAUGGACGAAAGUCUGACGGAGCAACGCCGCGUGAGUGAUGAAGGCUUUCGGGUCGUAAAACUCUGUUGUUAGGGAAGAACAAGUGCUAGUUGAAUAAGCUGGCACCUUGACGGUACCUAACCAGAAAGCCACGGCUAACUACGUGCCAGCAGCCGCGGUAAUACGUAGGUGGCAAGCGUUAUCCGGAAUUAUUGGGCGUAAAGCGCGCGCAGGUGGUUUCUUAAGUCUGAUGUGAAAGCCCACGGCUCAACCGUGGAGGGUCAUUGGAAACUGGGAGACUUGAGUGCAGAAGAGGAAAGUGGAAUUCCAUGUGUAGCGGUGAAAUGCGUAGAGAUAUGGAGGAACACCAGUGGCGAAGGCGACUUUCUGGUCUGUAACUGACACUGAGGCGCGAAAGCGUGGGGAGCAAACAGGAUUAAAUACCCUGGUACUCCACGCCGUAAACGAUGAGUGCUAAGUGUUAGAGGGUUUCCGCCCUUUAGUGCUGAAAUUAACGCAUUAUUCACUCCGCCUGCGGAGUACAGCCGCAAGGCUGAAACUCAAAGGAAUUGACGGGGGCCCGCACAAGCGGUGGAGCAUGUGGUUUAAUUCCGAAGAACGCGAAGGACCUUUCCCAGUUCUGGCCUUCUUUGACAACCCUAGAGAUAGGGGUUUUCCUUUGGGAACCGGAGGACCGGGGGGGCAAGGGUUGUGUCAAGUUCGGUUGGGGGGAGGUGGGGUAAAUUCCGCCAAGAGGGCCACCCCUGGUUUUUGGUGCCCUCCAUUAAGUUGGGCACUCUAAGGUGACUGCCGGUGACAAACCGGAGGAAGGUGGGGAUGACGUCAAAUUCUUCAGCCCCUUUUGGCCUUGGGUACCCCACUGGUUCCAAGGGCGGGUCAAAGAAGUGCCAGGCCCGGGGGGGGAAGUUAUUUUCUAAAACCCUUUUCCAUUUGGGAUGUUGGGUGCAAAUUGCCUACCAGGAAGCGGGAUUCGUUGUUAUUCGGGGUUCACCAGGC